rnacentral:misc_RNA from 1 species
UGACCACUCAAGCCUAGCUUGGUAUUGGGGUUCGCGGCGUCGCGGCCCCUAAAAUCAGUGGCGGUGCCGUCUGGCUCUAAGCGUAGUAAAUUUUCUCGCUACAGGGUCCGGAGGGUGGCUUGCUAACAACCCCCAACUCUUAC